rnacentral:tRNA from 1 species
GGAGGGGUGGCUGAGUGGCCUAAGGCGGCGGUCUUGAAAACCGUUGGUCACCUUACGGUGGCCCGUGGGUUCGAAUCCCACCCCCUCCG